UAAGACGUAGGAGGCAAGCGUUAUCCGGAUUUAUUGGGCGUAAAGCGUAUGUAGGCGGUUUGGUAAGUUGGAUGUGAAAUCUUUUGGCUUAACUGAGAGAGGUCGUUCAAAACUACCAACCUAGAGAGUUGUAGAGGAAGAUGGAAUUCCGGGUGUAGUGGUGAAAUGCGUAGAUAUCCGGAGGAACACCAGUGGCGAAAGCGGUCUUCUAGGCAACUUCUGACGCUCAGAUACGAAAGCUAGGGGAGCAAACGGG
rnacentral:rRNA from 1 species